GUGGGGAAUCUUGCACAAUGGGGGAAACCCUGAUGCAGCGACGCCGCGUGAAGGAUGAAGUAUUUCGGUAUGUAAACUUCUAUCAGCAGGGAAGAAAGUGACGGUACCUGACUAAGAAGCCCCGGCUAACUACGUGCCAGCAGCCGCGGUAAUACGUAGGGGGCAAGCGUUAUCCGGAUUUACUGGGUGUAAAGGGAGCGUAGACGGGAUAGCAAGUCUGAAGUGAAAGCCCGGGGCUCAACCCCGGGACUGCUUUGGAAACUGUUGACCUGGAGUGCUGGAGAGGCAAGUGGAAUUCCUAGUGUAGCGGUGAAAUGCGUAGAUAUUAGGAGGAACACCAGUGGCGAAGGCGGCUUGCUGGACAGUGACUGACGUUGAGGCUCGAAAGCGUGGGGAGCAAACAGGA
rnacentral:rRNA from 1 species